rnacentral:rRNA from 1 species
GAGGAAAAGAAAAUAACAAUGAUUCCCCUAGUAACUGCGAGUGAAGAGGGAUAAGCUCAAAUUUUAAAUCUGUUUGGUUCUACCUGACAGAGUUGUAAUUUAAAGAGACGUUUUCUGUGUCUUGAGUUAAUCAAAAUCCUUUGGAAUGAGGUAUCAUGGAGGGUGACAAUCCCGUUCAUGGUUAAUUCUAAGAUACUUUAUGAUGCGUUUUCGAAGAGUCGAGUUGUUUGGGAUUGCAGCUCAAAAUGGGAGGUAAAUUUCUCCUAAGGCUAAAUAUUGGCGAGAGACCGAUAGCGAACAAGUACCGUGAGGGAAAGAUGAAAAGAACUUUGAAAAGAGAGUUAAACAGUACGUGAAAUUGUUGAAAGGGAAACGAUUGAAGUCAGUCGUACCAGCGGGAAAUCAACCUUUCGAGUGGGGGUUUUGGAGUUUUGAAGAGUGUCAAAACCUUUGAGAUUUCAAAAUAUUCGCUCUUUUGGUGUACUUUCUCGUGGGUAGGUUAACAUCGAUUUUGAUCAUCAUAAAAAGAUUGGAGGAAUGUAGCUUCGAUCUUGUAUUGAAGUGUUAUAGCCUUUGGUAUAUGUGAUGAUUAGGAUCGAGGAUUGCAACGAAUACCCUUUUGGGCUAUCCGCCUGAUCUCUGAUACGUGGCCUUGGUAUCGAAAGCGUGCUUAUGGUAUUGAGGUAUUACGGUCAAAAGGUUAGAACGGAUUACAUUCGUUAAGGAUGUUGACGUAAUGGCUUUAAACGACCCGUCUUG